UACGAGGAGUGCAAGCGUUAUCCGGAUUUAUUGGGCGUAAAGGGUGCGUAGGGGGUUUUGUUAGUCCUGUGUUAAAGGCCGCGGCUCAACCGCGGAAAUGCGCGGGAAACGGCGAAACUUAGAGGAUGCGAGAGGCUGAUGGAACUCUGGGUGUAGGGGUGAAAUCCGUUGAUAUUCAGGGGAACACCAAAGGCGAAGGCAAUCAGCUGGCGCAUUCCUGACCCUGAGGCACGAAAGCGUGGGGAUCAAAAAGG
rnacentral:rRNA from 1 species